GCCGGCCUAGCUCAAUUAGUAGAGCAACUGACUUGUAAUCAGUAGGUUGGGGGUUCAAGUCCUCUGGCCGGCA
rnacentral:tRNA from 1 species